rnacentral:lncRNA from 1 species
UUAAAACAUACAUCACAAACAUAACACAGCUUGAAGCUCUUUCUGAAGCUGAAUCACUUGCUCACAGUCAUUGAGCGAUAACUCAACAAUGCAUGAAUACAAGCAAUCAGUUUAACAAAAGGUUCUGCUCCCUGGAAUCAAAACAAAGACGGAUCAGGCGAAGCAUACCCUUGCAGAUAUCUAUAAGAAUGCGAGGUUGUAGUUGCAGCUUGUUCAAGAAAACUGAAUGAGGAAUUUGUUGCAUGACUCACUUGGAUUCAAAGGUGCAAAAUGAUCAGGUGAGAGAAUGAUAUAAUAAACUGGCAUUCAUUUGCAAUCCCAAUCAUGUUAACAUGUUGGGGACUUCGAAUCAUCGAUCUAAAUAAGAUAAGCUACUAUCUCUUUCCAAGAUCUUCUGGGAAGGGAGAAAGUUCAACUGUAUCAGUGAAGAUGUUUCAGCAAUUCAACAGCAAAACUGAGACGUUUUUCUUUUCUUCUGCUAAAACAAAGAAUUCCUGAAAUUAUGUUGCUCUGAUCAAAUGUCUAAAAUGUCUAUCUGAAAUUCCUAAAACAAAGAAUUCCUGAAAAUGUCUAACAAAUUUAGUAGUAUUAAUACUCCAUUAUCAAAUUUGUUAAUGCUAUUAAGUUUAGGGGAGGGGAUUUCAAUUUACCCACAAGUUUGAUAUUACUUUUCAAAUUUAAUUUUAAAUAUUAACUAUUUUCAUAAAUACAUUAAAUUUGUGAUUAGAAAAAUUAAAUUAAUUCUCUUAAAUCAUUUAUAAAUAUUUAAGAAUAAUUUGUAAAACAUUUAUAAAAGUUUAUAAAUCUGACCCCACCCUCUGAAUACUAAACUCUAAACAUUAAUCACUAAACUUUAAAUUCAAAUGUUAAAACAUAAAAGCGUUUUUGAUUGAGUGUAAUCUUAAAAUAUGAUAUUCAACUUUGAUAACUUAGAGUAUUUUAAGCAAUAUCUCUUAAGUUUGUUAUAUCUUAAAUUAAAUAAUGGUGAAAUGAAUAAAUGGAGAAUUUCAAUUUACCACAAGUUUGAUAUUACCUUUUCAAAUUUACACAUUUAAAGAAUUUUUUUUUAUAAAUACCUUAAAUUUGUGAUAAAAAUAAAUAUAUCCUCCUAAAUCAUUUAUAAAUGUUUAAGAAUAAUUCAUACAAAAAUUUAUAGAAGUUUAUAAAUCCAAUUCCAUCCCCUAAAUACUAAAAUCUAAACAAUAAUCACUAAACCCUAAACAUAAAUGUUAACCACUUAAGGUAUUUUAAACAUUUUCUCAUGAACUAUUUUAUUAAGAUUUGUAUUCUGUAAUAAAUGUUUCCUUGUAAAUUUUCAUAUUAUCUCAAAUUUGAAAAUGAAAUGUGUAUGUAAUAUUUAAAUUUCAAACUAGGUGUCUCGUCCGGGCAUGCGAGCAUAAUUAUUUUGCAAUUACUUUUAACAUAUGUAUUACUAAUUCAAAAAUCAUCAUGAUAAAAUAUUGUUUAUGUUCCCAAAAAGUUUAAAACGAGCAUUAAAUUAUUUUAUAUGACAAAAUAAUUCAUCAAAAUAUAUAUACUCAUUAUUCUGUUAGAUUUUUUAGAAACCCUCAAUAAUAUACUAUUUUGAAAAUAUUUUUAAUAUACUACAUUCAUUAAUAAUAAAUAAAUAAAUAAAUCACUUUAUAUUCUCUUUUCAGUUAUAUAAAAUUCAGUUUACUUAAUUAAUAUUUAAUUAUACAUCUUUAUGUUUCUUGAUCCAAUUUUUACAAAAUCAAGCAAUGGCAGUGAAAUCUGAUCAAAUCUCCGGCCCUACAUUUUAACGACAUCUCACGUACUCAAAGGUUCUUUUCUACUCCCUGUUUCAUUGUUUGGCUAACUUUUUUCAAUUGUUAUUGGGAUCUCUCAUGGUUUGUUAAAUUAAAUUACCUUUUCUGCUUAUUUCCUCAUUAGUUAUGAGCUGGAAAGCCGAAAGCCCUUGAACGAUGUCCUCCCCUGCUAAGUUCUGC